GAUGGUGGCCCCCCGGUAUGGGACAGUUGCCCCCCAGGGUGGGAUGGUAGCCCCCAGGGUGUGGGAUGGUGGCCCCCCGGGGUGGGACAGUUGCCCCCAGAGUGGGAUCCCCCCAGGGUCUGGGCUGGUUGCCCCCUGGAGCAAGAUGGUAGCCCCCAGGGUGGGCUUGUUUCCCCCUUGGUGUGGGACAGUUGCCCCCCAGGGCAGGAUUGUUGCCCCAGAGUGGGAUCCCCCCAGGGUGUGGGUUAGUUGCCCCCUGGGGCAGGAUGGUAGCCCUCGGGGUGGGCUCGUUGCCCCCCAGGGCAGGAUUGUUGCCCCCCAGAGCAGGAUGGUAGCCCUCAGGGUGGGCUUGUUGCCCCCAGAGUGGGAUCCCCCCAGGGUGUGGGCUGGUUGCCCCCCAGAGCAGGAUGGUAGCCCUCAGGGUGGACUUGUUGCCCCCUUGGUGCAGGACAGUUGCCCCCCAGGGUGGGAUGGUAGCCCCCAGGGUGUGGGAUGGUGGCCCCCCGGGGUGGGACAGUUGCCCCCAGAGUGGGAUCCCCCCAGGGUCUGGGCUGGUUGCCCCCUGGAGCAGGAUGGUAGCCCUCAGGGUGGGCUUGUUGCCCCCUUGGUGCAGGACAGUUGCCCCCCAGGGCAGGAUUGUUGCCCCCAGGGUGUGGGAUGGUUGCCCCCCAGGGUGGGAUGGUGGCCCCCUGGGGUGGGACAGUUGCCCCCCAGGGCAGGAUCGUUGCCCCCAGAGGGGGAUCCCCCCAGGGUGUGGGCUGGUUGCCCCCUAGGGUGGGAUGGUGGCCCCCAGAGUUGCAUCCCCCCAGGAUGUGGGUUAGUUGCCCCCUGGGGCAGGAUGGUAGCCCUCAGGGGGCAGGAUCAUUGCCCCCAGGGUGUGGGCUGGUUGCCCCCCCGGGUGGGAUGGUGGCCCCCUGGGGUGGGAUCCUCUCAGGGUAUGGGAUGGUGGCCCCCCGGGGUGGGAUGGUUGCCCCCCAGGGCAGGAUCGUUGCCCCCAGAGUGGGAUCCCCCCAGGGUGUGGGUUAGUUGCCCCCUGGGGCAGGAUGGUAGCCCUCAGGGGUGGGAUGGUUGCCCCCCAAGCAGGAUGGUUGC
rnacentral:lncRNA from 1 species